rnacentral:lncRNA from 13 species
AUUUGUGUGUUUUCCUUUGUGCGUUGCACUCUUGUGGCACGAUGGCUAGUGAGGGUCCCCUUCCUGCAGUCCUGGAAGUAAAAAUUGCGUUGCUGAAAGAUCCUUUGUCUCAGUGCUGAUUCUUCUUUGCGGCACCGAGCAUCUGUUUCCAACAGGAAGAGAUUAGGAUACAGCACGCACAGAGGGAAGACCCUGUGAGAACUGAGGCCGAGGAGCAAGGCCGCAGAUGGAACCAGCCCUCCCGACACAUUGACCUUGGACCCCCAGCCUCCAGAUUGUAGGGGAUGGAGGCUGAGAGAGGCACACAGCCCUGGUGACCAAAGCGUCAGGCCACGAUCCUGGCUUCUCGACCUCGGCGCUGUUGCAUUUUGGGUGGGAUGACGCUUCGUGAAUAGCUGUCCUGUGUGCUGGAGGGGUUCGGCAAGACCCCG